GAUGAACGCUGGCGGCGUGCCUAAUACAUGCAAGUCGAGCGAACAGACGAGGAGCUUGCUCCUCUGACGUUAGCGGCGGACGGGUGAGUAACACGUGGAUAACCUACCUAUAAGACUGGGAUAACUUCGGGAAACCGGAGCUAAUACCGGAUAAUAUAUUGAACCGCAUGGUUCAAUAGUGAAAGACGGUUUUGCUGACACUUAUAGAUGGAUCCGCGCCGCAUUAGCUAGUUGGUAAGGUAACGGCUUACCAAGGCAACGAUGCGUAGCCGACCUGAGAGGGUGAUCGGCCAAACUGGAACUGAGACACGGUCCAGACUCCUACGGGAGGCAGCAGUAGGGAAUCUUCCGCAAUGGGCGAAAGCCUGACGGAGCAACGCCGCGUGAGUGAUGAAGGUCCUCGGAUCGUAAAACUCUGUUAUUAGGGAAGAACAAAUGUGUAAGUAACUAUGCACGUCUUGACGGUACCUAAUCAGAAAGCCACGGCUAACUACGUG
rnacentral:rRNA from 1 species